rnacentral:sRNA from 1 species
UUAAAAGCAUAUUGGCAGAGGAAGAGCCCUGGCAUUCCAGCAGGAGCUAACAGGAAAAAGAACAUCAAUGGCAGUAGCCCUGACACAGCCACUUCUGGUGGUUACCACUCACCUGGGGAUUCAGCAACAGGUAUCUACGGGGAGGGCCGUGCAUCCUCUGCUACCCUGGAGGAUCUGGAGAGCCAGUACCAAGAACUAGCAGUGGCCCUGGAUUCAAGCUCCGCAAUAAUCAGUCAACUCACUGAAAACAUCAAUUCACCGGUUCGCACAUCUAAGGAGGAGAAGAAGCAUAAGACACAUCGGGUACAGAAGCUUGUGAGGAG